rnacentral:sRNA from 1 species
GCUGGGUGUGGUGGUGCACACCUGUAAUCCCAGCAACUUGGGAGGCCAAGGCAGAAGGAUCACAAUUUUGAGGCCAGCCUCAGCAAUUUAGUGAGGACCUAAGCAAUUU